AAGGACUGUGCUCCCAAUCCGCUUACGCUCAAGGAAGAACUGGAAGGCCCAGAACCAGCCUGCUGUCAGGAUCAGAACAAAAGAGGAGGACUGCAUAUGUAUGGACCCACUCCAGAUGGCAUGGGGACGGGGGGAGUAGGAAAAGUGGCAUGAGACCAGGCCCACAGAGUAUGGCUGUGCAAGUUGUUCACUCUACAAGGGCACCUGGCCGCUCUCUCAUUCCUGUUGAGGGCUCUCUGGUGGAGCCUCUGUCUCACAGGUCACCUGCAGGCCAACACUCCCAGAAGCAGCUAGCACCAUGGUUGACCUCGUCCAGGUCCAGGGAAGGCCUCCCUCUCCAGGACUCCUUUAGAUUUCCCCAGCAUCCAGACCUCACCUGCCUAAGUGCUGUUGCCCUGGAAGCCACACAGUGAGCACGAGCUCCAUCUUGCCCCUUUACCAGCCAAUGGGGGUAAAGACAUUAGCUGAAAUGCUUCUAAGGGGCCAGGCGUGGUGACUCACGCUUGUAAUUCCAAGCACUUUGGGAGGCUGAGGCAGGUGGAUCACCUGAAGCCAGGAGUUCAAGAGCAGCCUGGCCAACAUGGCGAAACCCUGUCUCUACUAAAAAUACAAAAUUUAGCCAGGCAUGGUGGCGGGAGCCUGUAAUCUCAGCUCCUAGGGAGGCUGAGCCAGAAGAAUCACUUAAACCCGGAAGCUGGAGGUUGCAGUGAGCCAAGAUCACACCACCACACUCCAGCCUGGGUGACAGAACAAGACUCCAU
rnacentral:antisense_RNA from 1 species